rnacentral:rRNA from 1 species
UACGUAGGGUGCAAGCGUUGUCCGGAAUUAUUGGGCGUAAAGAGCUCGUAGGCGGUUUGUCGCGUCGGCUGUGAAGACUCGGGGCUCAACCCCGAGCCUGCAGUCGAUACGGGCAAACUAGAGUGUGGUAGGGGAGACUGGAAUUCCUGGUGUAGCGGUGAAAUGCGCAGAUAUCAGGAGGAACACCGGCGGCGAAGGCGGGUCUCUGGGCCAUAACUGACGCUGAGGAGCGAAAGCGUGGGGAGCGAACAGG